rnacentral:tRNA from 1 species
UCGAAAACUGAAGACUAAGAAUCUUCUCAAGGU